AAAGUCAACCUUUUAAAUCACAUUUUUUUGAUUCACCUCAUCUCUUGCCCUUUACGUCUCAGCACCCUCUAGCCAUAUCUACCGGAUGGAGACGCGUGGUGAUGACAAAUCUGACGCUGAGGAGGGAGGCACGUCUGUGGAGUUCAAGAGCCAAACGACAUGACGUUGAUUUCUGCUGUUUUGGCCAAACGAAAGAUUUGGCCUCUUUCUUCUCCAUCAGCAAACCCAUCGGUGGCGGUGGAGGGCUUCCGGUGUUCCUUCUUUGCAUUGACAUGUUGCUUUGUUUACCCAAACACAUUAGAAGCCCUAGAUCCCUAAAUCUCCUCAAUUGACAACCAAAAAAAGGUCAGAUUUUUGUUUUCUUUUUCUUUUUCUUUUUUCUUUUUUAUAAAUCCUCCCCACUUAAAAAGCUAUGUGAUUAUUUUGUUUUGUUUUUUGUUUUUGUUUUUUUAUUUAUAAAUCCUCUCUGUUUAAUCCCCAUAAUGAAAAGCUGUGUGAUUAUGAAAAUAGACUUGCCGAAAUGCUUUGUGAUUUUGAAAAAAUGGACUUGUUGAAAUGAUUAAUUGAAAGCAUAUGUGAUUCCGCCUAGACUUACAUUUUGCAUUCCAAAUGUAUGAUAAAAUGCCUCGAUGAAAUUCUUUGUGAUUU